rnacentral:rRNA from 1 species
AUUGAACGCUGGCGGCAUGCCUUACACAUGCAAGUCGAACGGCAGCACGGGAGCAAUCCUGGUGGCGAGUGGCGAACGGGUGAGUAAUAUAUCGGAACGUGCCCAGUAGUGGGGGAUAACUGCUCGAAAGAGCAGCUAAUACCGCAUACGACCUGAGGGUGAAAGGGGGGGAUCGCAAGACCUCUCGCUAUUGGAGCGGCCGAUAUCAGAUUAGCUAGUUGGUGGGGUAAAGGCCUACCAAGGCAACGAUCUGUAGUAGAUCUGAGAGGACGACCAGCCACACUGGGACUGAGACACGGCCCAGACUCCUACGGGAGGCAGCAGUGGGGAAUUCUGGACAAUGGGCGCAAGCCUGAUCCAGCAAUGCCGCGUGCAGGAAGAAGGCCUUCGGGUUGUAAACUGCUUUUGUCAGGGAAGAAAUCCUCUAGGUUAAUACCCUUGGGGGGAUGACGGUACCUGAAGAAUAAGCACCGGCUAACUACGUGCCAGCAGCCGCCGCCGUAA